GCAACGGCGUUGAGUAGAAUGCCGCGGCCGCAGCCGAGGUCGAGGGCGUGCUUAACGGUUGACCAAUCUGAGACGGCGUUGACCAUCCGGAGGGCCAUUUCAUAGUGGAGAGGGAGAGAGGAGUAGAAGAUGUUAGCGGCGGCGAAGAAGAGGCAGAAAGCGGAGAUAGCAGUGACGCAACCGGUGAAGCCGGCGGCGAAACGGGCGGAGCCGCCGGAGAAGAGAAGCUCAAAAAAAAGAACAGAUGGAUUCGAAGUAGGAAAGGUAAAAAAUGGAAAGAGCAGUAAAGAACAGAGCAUGAAGAAGAAGAAACACUAUGGUCUGCCAUUGAUCCACU
rnacentral:misc_RNA from 1 species